UAUUAAUAAACUUGUUUUUGAAAUUUAUAUGUAAUAAAAUUUAAAUUAAAUAAAUUAGGCUUUUUGUGUAGAACUUAUUGAUAUAAUUGAUUUUACUUUAGUGGAUAAGUACUGUGAAGGAAUUCGUUAUUAAUGAAUUGAAUAUAGUUAAUUAAAGUUAAUUUAGUUUGUUGUAUCUUGUGUAUCAGAGUGGAUUAAAGUUAUUAUAAAUUAUUUUAUUCUCGAAUUUGGAAGAUUUAAUUAAUAGUUUUAUUUUUUGUUUCAUAAAUAUUAAAAAUUUUUAAUUGGUAAUGAGAUGUUAAUCGUUUUUAAGGAUAUCUAGUUUUUUAAUAAAUGAAUUUAAUUCAGGGAAUAAAAAUUAUUUUAUUUAUUAUUAUUAUUAUUAUAUUUUUUUUCUAACUUUUAGGGGGAUUAGCUCUUUAAAGUUUAUUUAUAAUAAGAUUGUGUAUGAGAAUUUUAUAAAUUUAGAAUUUGUUAAUAGUUAAAGGAUGUUAAAAUUUAAUUCUUAUUUUUAGAGAUUUUUAAUUUAUUUAAUUUAUAUAUUGAAACGUUGAAUUUAGUUUUAAAGUUUUAGAGAAUAUGAUUUAAUUAGUAAAGUUUAGUUUAUUAUAUAUUUAAGACUUAAUUGUUGUUAUGAAGAAUUAGGCAAAUAUUUUACUCGCCUGUUUAUUAAAAACAUGGUUUCUUGUAUAUAUAUAAGAAAUUUAACCUGCCCACUGAAAGUUUUUGAAGGGCCGCAGUAUUUUGACUGUGCAAAGGUAGCAUAAUCAUUAGUCCUUUAAUUAGGGGCUGGCAUGAAUGGUUGGACGAGGUAAAUACUGUUUUAUAAUAAUUUUAGUUGAAUUUAGGUUUUAAGUAAAAAAACUUAAGUGUUAUUAAGGGACGAGAAGACCCUAUAGAGUUUAAUAUAUGAAGUGAUUAAUUUAGUUAUAAAUGAAUUUUUAGUUAUUAUGAAAUUUAUUUAGUUGGGGUGAUUAGAAAAUAAGUUUAACUUUUCUUUAAAAUAAAUUCUAUAAUUAGAAUAGAGAUCCAUUUGUAGUGAUUAAAAGAUUAAAUUACCUUAGGGAUAACAGCAUAAUUUUUUUUUGAGAGUUCAUAUCGAAAGGAAAGAUUGUGACCUCGAUGUUGGAUUAAGAUAAAUUUUUGGGUGUAGAUGUUCAAAGUAUUAGGUCUGUUCGACCUUAAAAAUCUUACAUGAUCUGAGUUUAAAUCGGCGUGAGCAGGUUGGUUUCUAUCUUUAAUUUAUGAAAAUAUUUUAGUACGAGAGGACCAUAUAUUUAAAAUAAUUUUUGGAAAUAGAAUGUAAUUAAUUAAU
rnacentral:rRNA from 1 species